GCCUAAAGCCUAGCCCCACACAACCCAAAUGACAACAACAGAUGUCUACAAUAUCAAUAAAACAUUCUACACUAUUAGUAGAGGCGAUUGAAAAAUGUCUUGGAGCUUUAGAAACAGUACCGCAAGGGAAAGGUGAAAUAGCAAUGAAAUAAAUCUUAAGUAAUACAAAGCAGAGAUUUUACCUCGUACCUUUUGCAUCAUGGUUUAGUCAGUCCGCCCAAGCAGAAAGAAAUUUUAGUUUGACCCCCCGAAACUAGACGAGCUACUUCAAAACAGCCUUAAGAGCAAACCCGUCUCUGUUGCAAAAGAGUGGGAAGAUUUUCAAGUAGCGGUGACAUACCUAUCGAGUCUAGAGAUAGCUGGUUAUUCAGGAAAAGGAUAUAAGUCCAACCUUAAGUCUUCUAAUGACUACUAAUAUAACCACAGACUUAAGAGUCAUUCAAAUAAGGUACAGCUUAUUUGAAACAGGAUACAACCUCAACCACAGGGUAAUGUAUACUUUACUGUAACAAAGUGGGCCUAAGAGCAGCCACCUUUUAAAAAGCGUUAAAGCUUCACUACAAUUCCAUCUCAAUAUCAACAACCAAUCAAAACCCUUAACUACUACUGAAUGACUUCAUAAUUAUAUGAAAGACCUCAUGCUAAAACUAGUAACAAGAAGCUAACCCUUCUCCUAAUUGCAAGUGUAAGUCGACAUGGAUCCCCCGUCGACAAUUACCGUCUAUGAAACCACUAUAGUAACUCCACCAAGAAAACUCUAUUACCACAUGUGAGCACAAUCACUUGAAUAAUAACGUUAACCUUACACCAGAGCAACCUAGGAAAGAUUAAAAGAAGAGGAAGGAACUCGGCAAACAACUAACCCCGCCUGUUUACCAAAAACAUCGCCUCCUGUCAAAUAAUAGGAGGUCCCGCCUGCCCAGUGACUAUACGUUCAACGGCCGCGGUACCCUAACCGCGCGAAGGUAGCGCAAUCACUUGUCCUUUAAAUGUGGACUAGUAUGAACGGCAUAACGAGGGUUAUACUGUCUCCCUCUUCCAAUCAGUGAAACUGAUCUCCCCGUGAAGAAGCGGGGAUAACAUUAUAAGACGAGAAGACCCCAUGGAGCUUUAAACCCAAAGUCAACUGCUGCCGCAUAUAUCCCCAAAGCUAUAGCAGAUUUCUGUCACUUUGGUUUUCGGUUGGGGUGACCGCGGAGCAAAAUAAAACCUCCACGAUGAACGGAACUAACUCCUAAUCCAAGAGCUACAACUCAAAGAAUCAAAACUUUGACAUAAAUUGAUCCAAAUAAUUUGAUCAACGAACCAAGUUACCCUGGGGAUAACAGCGCAAUCCAUUUUUAGAGCUCCUAUCGACAAAUGGGUUUACGACCUCGAUGUUGGAUCAGGGUAUCCCAGUGGUGUAGCCGCUACUAAAGGUUCGUUUGUUCAACGAUUAAAACCCUACGUGAUCUGAGUUCAGACCGGAGUAAUCCAGGUCGGUUUCUAUCUAUAAAGAGCUACUCCUAGUACGAAAGGACCGAAGUAACGUGGCCAAUGUUUUAAAUAAGCCACAGCUGUCUACUAAUGCAACUCAACUAAAUUAGCACCCAGCCUACCAAUUUUCUCAAGAUAAGAAAA
rnacentral:rRNA from 1 species